rnacentral:rRNA from 1 species
CUGAGGCGCGAAAGUGUGGGGAGCAAACAGGAUUAGAUACCCUGGUAGUCCACACUGUAAACGAUGAAUGCUAGGUGUAGGGGGUAUCGACCCCUUCUGUGCCGCAGUCAACACAAUAAGCAUUCCGCCUGGGGAGUACGGCCGCAAGGUUGAAACUCAAAGGAAUUGACGGGGGCCCGCACAAGCAGCGGAGCAUGUGGUUUAAUUCGACGCAACGCGAAGAACCUUACCAGGUCUUGACAUCCACUUAAACUUACAGAGAUGUAAGGUGUGCUUGCACAAAGUGAGACAGGUGGUGCAUGGUUGUCGUCAGCUCGUGUCGUGAGAUGUUGGGUUAAGUCCCGCAACGAGCGCAACCCUCGCCCUGUGUUGCCAGCACGUCGUGGUGGGAACUCACGGGGGACCGCCGGGGUCAACUCGGAGGAAGGUGGGGAUGACGUCAGAUCAUCAUGCCCCUUACGUCCAGGGCUUCACGCAUGCUACAAUGGCCGGUACAACGGGAUGCGACAUGGCGACAUGGAGCGGAUCCCUGAAAACCGGUCUCAGUUCGGAUUGGAGUCUGCAACCCGACUCCAUGAAGGCGGAGUCGCUAGUAAUCGCGGAUCAGCAACGCCGCGGUGAAUGCGUUCCCGGGCCUUGUACACACCGCCCGUCAAGUCAUGAAAGUGGGUAGCACCCGAAGCCGGUGGCCUAACCCCUUGUGGGAUGGAGCCGUCUAAGGUGAGACUCGUGAUUGGGACUAAGUCGUAACAAGGUAGCCGUACCGGAAGGUGCGGCUG